UGUGGUACCGUUAGCUCAUUCCGUUACUCAGACAACGUGCUGUCUCUCAGGUAAACCCAAGAGAGUGAACUUGCACACGUGAGGUUCAACACUGUUCCACGGCCAUUCAUCAAAAAACAGUUCACAACCACGUAUAUAAUACCGUGGCAAAAGCAAUACUACUCAGCCAUUUCGAAAACCUAGUGACAAGAUUAAGAGCCACACAUUUUUCUAGUUCAAAGUGAUUUUAUGAAUGCGUUUAUCAACGACGUCUACUAACCUGCCGAAAACCUGGUCAAAAGAAGUGCGUGAUUAAAUACAAUAAAAAGUGCAGUGGAGACCGUUUGUUAGCAUUAAGACAAUUGAAGUGUCGUUAAGUCUGAAGAGAGCCUUAAAAUAACAUAAAUACGCAAGACAGGUUUACAAACACAGAAGAAUGAAAUUGGUUCCGUGAAGUGUAAGAAAAAGAGUAACAUAAAGGUCCACCCUGUUCGGUGGUUCUCCGAACAAUGGCGUACACAAAACAUAAAUACAUUGAAAAUUUGGCCGAGCAGCUGUUCUGCAGAUACUGAAACAUCGAGGAGCCUAUAUGUGAAGCCCACUACAUAACAGAGAUGUGGUGUCUCUCUGGCUAUCCGCCCGCAUCUUUUACCACUGAAAGGAUUUUGGAGAAAUUUGGGAUCUACAUUAAAAGCUGUCGGACGAAUUUAAUUUUUGCGCACGUCGGUUAGUUUAAACCUCGUAUUAGAGAAGUUACAGCUCAAAUUUUUAUCACAC